GAUGAACGCUGGCGGCGUGCCUAAUACAUGCAAGUCGAGCGAACGGACGAGAAGCUUGCUUCUCUGAUGUUAGCGGCGGACGGGUGAGUAACACGUGGAUAACCUACCUAUAAGACUGGGAUAACUUCGGGAAACCGGAGCUAAUACCGGAUGAUAUUUUGAACCGCAUGGUUCAAAAGUUAAAGACGGUCUUGCUGUCACUUAUAGAUGGAUCCGCGCUGCAUUAGCUAGUUGGUAAGGUAACGGCUUACCAAGGCAACGAUGCAUAGCCGACCUGAGAGGAUGAUCAGCAACACUGGAACUGAGACACGGUCCAGACUCCUACGGGAGGCAGCAGUAGGGAAUCUUGCGCAAUGGGCGAAAGCCUGACGGAGCAACGCCGCGUGAGUGAUGAAGGUCUUCGGAUCGUAAAACUCUGUUAUUAGGGAAGAACAGAUGUGUAAGUAACUGUGCACAUCUUGACGGUACCUAAUCAGAAAGCAACGGCUAACUACGUG
rnacentral:rRNA from 1 species